UACAGGGGGUGCAAACGUUGCUCGGAAUUAUUGGGCGUAAAGCGCACGUAGGCGGUUCGUUAUGUCAGAUGUGAAAGCCCUUGGCUCAACUGAGGAAGUGCAUCUGAAACUGGCGAGCUAGAGUAUGUAAGAGGGUCGCGGAAUUCCCGGUGUAGAGGUGAAAUUCGUAGAUAUCGGGAGGAACACCGGUGGCGAAGGCGACCAUCUGGACGGAUACUGACGCUGAGACGCGAAAGCGUGGGUAGCAAACAGG
rnacentral:rRNA from 1 species